ACGUACGGCCAUAGAUCAAAGAAAACAUCGGAUCCCGUCCGCUCUCCUGCAAUCAAGCUUUGAAUCGGUAGAUUAGUAGUUAGGUGGGUGACCACUAGCGAAUACCUACUGCUGUACGUU
rfam:Coniosporium apollinis CBS 100218 chromosome Tnknown supercont1.39, whole genome shotgun sequence.